rnacentral:rRNA from 1 species
UACGUAGGGUGCAAGCGUUAAUCGGAAUUACUGGGCGUAAAGCGUGCGCAGGCGGUUUUGUAAGUCUGACGUGAAAUCCCCGGGCUCAACCUGGGAACUGCGUCCGAUACUGGAUGGCUUGAAUCCGGGAGAGGGAUGCAGAAUUCCAGGUGUAGCGGUGAAAUGCGUAGAUAUCUGGAGGAAUACCGGUGGCGAAGGCGGCAUCCUGGACCGGCAUUGACGCUGAGGAGCGAAAGCCAGGGGAGCAAACGGG